GAUGAAGAACGUAGCGAAAUGCGAUAAGUAAUGUGAAUUGCAGAAUUCAGUGAAUCAUCGAAUCUUUGAACGCACAUUGCGCCCGCCAGUAUUCUGGCGGGCAUGCCUGUCUGAGCGUCAUUUCAACCCUCAUGCCCCUAGGGCGUGGUGUUGGGGAUCGGCCAAAGCCCGCGAGGGACGGCCGGCCCCUAAAUCUAGUGGCGGACCCGUCGUGGCCUCCUCUGCGAAGUAGUGAUAUUCCGCAUCGGAGAGCGAUGAGCCCCUGCCGUUAAACCCCCAACUUUCCAAGGUUGACCUCAGAUCAGGUAGGAAUACCCGCUGAACUUAAGCAUAUCAAUAAGUGGAGGA
rnacentral:misc_RNA from 1 species